UGACCAUUUCUCAGAAGCAGUUUAGUUUCGGUUUUGAGAGAUAGGCCUACUGACUCAUACAUCAGAAUUAGGUCGCGUCGCUGUGUGACGCUAUACACUCAGGCCCUACAUAUAUCUUCUACUCUUCUGCUCGGUGUUAUACGGUACUGCAAUAUCCAGCAUAUCGUCCUCAAGUAGGUAAUUGGAUUUGAGACCAUAGACGGUUACCUGAACCUACAGUAGCAUGGCGGGUUACCAUUUCAACCUUGUUCGGAGCGCGGGCCAUCCACCGAACCGAGCUGUCCAGCUUGGAACACAAACCGACGGAGCGGGCCAACUAUGGAGUGCUGUGGCUCACACCCAAUGGGGAGAUAUACCUGGCAAGGCCAGAGGGAACACUUGCUGGUACUCCUACAAUGGAAAGGAGCAUUACACCAACGUAUUCUCCUGGAUUGUUCCUCGGCAUCCGGCCCCAAUGACCCUGGUGAUGAACAACGGAACUGGACCCCCGUACAACGCUCUGCAAGUUGGCAACCAGACGGACGGGGCAGGGUCAUUGUGGGCGGCCAUUGCUAUCUCAGACCAGUGGGGAACCAUUCCGGGCAAGGCUAAAGGAAAUACAUGCUGGUUUCCGUACAACGGUAAAGAGAACGAAACUUCCAGAUUUUAUUGGGUUUGCCACCAGUAAAAAUGAAUUCACAAAUUUUAUGCCCCAUUUCAAGUUAUUCUGCGGAGGGAUUUCUGUAAACAGGACUCCAUUCUCACUAUGCUCCCAGUUCCAUGAAUAAUACGGCUUACACCUGUUAAAAGUUAAACGGACUGUGAAUUUGUCACUCAGCGCAUUUGAAUGCGACGAUAUCUUUGCAGAAUUUUGAAUCUCAUUUGUACACUCCUAUCACGUGUAUUUGAGAAAAAUUGUAUUCCUUCCUUUUAAAUAAACCUAGUUCAUAUG